rnacentral:rRNA from 1 species
CCUACGGGAGGCAGCAGUGAGGAAUAUUGGACAAUGGGCGCAAGCCUGAUCCAGCCAUGCCGCGUGCAGGAUGACGGUCCUAUGGAUUGUAAACUGCUUUUAUACGGGAAGAAACCCUGGCUCGUGAGCCAGAUUGACGGUACCGUAAGAAUAAGGAUCGGCUAACUCCGUGCCAGCAGCCGCGGUAAUACGGAGGAUCCAAGCGUUAUCCGGAAUCAUUGGGUUUAAAGGGUCCGUAGGCGGUUUAAUAAGUCAGUGGUGAAAGCCCAUCGCUCAACGGUGGAACGGCCAUUGAUACUGUUAGACUUGAAUUAUUCGGAAGUAACUAGAAUAUGUAGUGUAGCGGUGAAAUGCUUAGAGAUUACAUGGAAUACCAAUUGCGAAGGCAGGUUACUACUAAUGGAUUGACGCUGAUGGACGAAAGCGUGGGUAGCGAACAGGAUUAGAUACCCUGGUAGUCCACGCCGUAAACGAUGGAUACUAGCUGUUGGGCGCAAGUCCAGUGGCUAAGCGAAAGUGAUAAGUAUCCCACCUGGGGAAUACGUUCGCAAGAAUGAAACUUAAAGGAAUUGACGG